GCUGGGGUCUCCUUCCGCAUUGUGGCUGCUUUGUUCUUUCGCUCUUUGCAGUAAAUCUUGCUACUGCUCAGUCUUUGGGUCCACGCUGCUUUUAUGAGCUGUAACACUCACCGCGAAGAUCUGCAGUUUCACUCCUGAACCCAGCAAGACCACGAGCCCACCGGGAGAAACAAACAACUCCAGACGUGCUACCUUAAGAGCUGUAACACUCACCGUGAAGGUCUGCAGCUUCACUCCUGGAGCCAGUGAGCCCACGAGCCCACCGGGAGGAACGAAAGACUCCAGACGCGCUGCCUUAAGGGCUGUAACACUAACCGUGAAGGUCUGUAGCUUCACUCCUCAGCCAGCGAGACCACGAACCCACCAGAAGGAAGAAACUCCAAACACAUCUGAACAUCAGAAGGGGCAGACUCCAGACGCGCCACCUUAAGAGCUGUAACACUCACCGCGAGGGUCCGUGGCUUCAUUCUUGAAGUCAGUGAGAGCAAGAACCCACCAAUUCCGGACACACUUCCACAUCUUCAGUUUCUUCCUCCAUGUUACUUACCGAUAUUGAAAGACCGCAUGCUGCUUUGAACAAGACGGGUGAUCAAUUGGAAUGUCUGCAAUGCGGCGGUGUCGACCCAGUAGGCCGAGGAACCAACUCCUGAGACUCACUGCCGCCACCACCAACGUCAUUCCUCUGGCGAUGCUCCCG
rnacentral:lncRNA from 10 species